rnacentral:rRNA from 1 species
AGAGUUUGAUCUUGGCUCAGGACGAACGCUGGCGGCGUGCCUAAUACAUGCAAGUCGAACGAGAAUUUCUUACACCGAGUGCUUGCACUCACCGUAAGAAAUUCGAGUGGCGGACGGGUGAGUAACACGUGGGUAACCUGCCCAAAAGAAGGGGAUAACAUUUGGAAACAAAUGCUAAUACCGUAUAACCAUGAUGACCGCAUGGUCAUUAUGUAAAAGGUGGUUCUGCUAUCGCUUUUGGAUGGACCCGCGGCGUAUUAACUAGUUGGUAGGGUAACGGCCUACCAAGGUGAUGAUACGUAGCCGAGUUGAGAGACUGAUCGGCCACAAUGGGACUGAGACACGGCCCAUACUCCUACGGGAGGCAGCAGUAGGGAAUCUUCCACAAUGGGCGCAAGCCUGAUGGAGCAACGCCGCGUGAAUGAAGAAGGUCUUCGGAUCGUAAAAUUCUGUUGUUAGAGAAGAAUAUGAGUAAUAGUAACUGAUUAUUCACUGACGGUAUCUAACCAGCAAGUCACGGCUAACUACGUGCCAGCAGCCGCGGUAAUACGUAGGUGGCAAGCGUUGUCCGGAUUUAUUGGGCGUAAAGGGAACGCAGGCGGUUUUUUAAGUCUGAUGUGAAAGCCUUCGGCUUAACCGGAGAUGUGCAUUGGAAACUGGAAGACUUGAGUGCAGAAGAGGAGAGUGGAACUCCAUGUGUAGCGGUGAAAUGCGUAGAUAUAUGGAAGAACACCAGUGGCGAAAGCGGCUCUCUGGUCUGUAACUGACGCUGAGGUUCGAAAGCAUGGGUAGCGAACAGGAUUAGAUACCCUGGUAGCC